rnacentral:tRNA from 1 species
GGAGGGUUGGCAGAGCUGGUUUAAUGCACCGGUCUUGAAAAUCGGCGGGCGUGAUGAGCGUCCCAGGGGUUCGAAUCCCUUACCCUCCG